rnacentral:rRNA from 1 species
UACAGAGGGUGCGAGCGUUAAUCGGAAUUACUGGGCGUAAAGCGUGCGUAGACGGCUAUCUAAGUCGGGUGUGAAAGCCCUGGGCUCAACCUGGGAAUUGCAUUCGAGACUGAAUAGCUAGGGUACGGUAGAGGGAAGCGGAAUUUCCGGUGUAGCGGUGAAAUGCGUAGAUAUCGGAAGGAACAUCAGUGGCGAAAGCGGCUUCCUGGACCAGUACCGACGUUCAGGCACGAAAGCGUGGGGAGCAAACAGG